AUGAACGCUGGCGGCGUGCCUAAUACAUGCAAGUCGAACGAGUUCUCGUUGAUGAUCGGUGCUUGCACCGAGAUUCAACAUGGAACGAGUGGCGGACGGGUGAGUAACACGUGGGUAACCUGCCCUUAAGUGGGGGAUAACAUUUGGAAACAAAUGCUAAUACCGCAUAAUUAGUUGAAACCACAUGGUUUCAACUUGAAAGAUGGCUCUGCUAUCACUUUAGGAUGGACCCGCGGCGUAUUAGCUAGUUGGUGAGAUAAUAGCCCACAAGGCGAUGAUACGUAGCCGAACUGAGAGGUUGAUCGGCCACAUUGGGACUGAGACACGGCCAAACUCCUACGGAGCAGCAGUAGGAAUC
rnacentral:rRNA from 1 species